UUAGUGGCGCAAUGAAGGGUAAGUUCGGUACCAGAAACCGUUAAAAGGACAAACUGUUUUGCAAAGAAAAAGAAACGUAAAUGGCAUCAUCAUCAACUACAAUCUCUCUUUCCCUGGCUAUAUUUUCUUCUACUACUGCCACUACUCCUUCCUCAACAACUCAAACUAAGACUUCCUCCAUUUGCAGCUUCAGAUCCCAUGAAAGGAACUACUUAUCUUCUUUCCCUCCUGGGCACAAGCAUGUGUCAGUUACAAGACAGCAAGAACAAAAGCAGUGAGCAAGAGAAGCAGUUCAAAUGGGCUCACUUGCUUAGCUUCAUCUUCUGUUCUUCCAUCAGCUCUUCUUUUUUAUUGUGAUGGCGUGCUUGUUGAUACUGAAGAAGAUGGCCACAGGAUUUCUUUCCAUGAAGCCAUGUAUACAUUAGCAGCCACCACUCUGGGUGUUGAUCCUUCAAGGUACCAUCAUAGCAUAUGUUUCAUGUCAAUACAGGCGAUAAAGUCAUGUUUCUCUCAAGCUAUAUACUCAUUGACUUUGGGAAGGAUCAGUUCCUGUAAGCUACAAUCAAUUAUUUGAUAAGAUCAACUUCAUAAUGCUUUUUUCAA